CUUUACCCAGAGGAGGAAGAGGCGGGUCAACAACAUCUUUGACUUCCAGAGGUUGAGCUGGAGCUUGUGCUGGUGGUUGAAUCUCAGGUGGGAUUAAGCUCAGGAGAGAGCCUGCUUCUGCUGGCAAUAUGGCAUAUGUUCCUGGAAAAUCAGUGAUGAGUCCAUCAGCUUGAACAGAUUGAACAUAAGUGGCAAUCUCCACUAUUGGGUCACUGAAGUAAUCGAAAGCCAGAGAGACGUACUCGUUCCUGAACUGAUAGACAUAGACGGAGAGAUUUGCUGCCUUCAUUUCCUUAACAACAUUUGUGAACCCCACUGUAAAGAAAUCAUUGACUUUGACUAUGGAACUUCUGGGAAUGGUCACUGCCUCUGCAUACUUCUUUAUUUCGUCUACAGAAGCUUUAGGUGCAUCCCCUAUCUUCUCCUUGAUUUUCAACACCCUUUUGUAAGCUGGGAUUCCUUUGAAUUUGGAUAGAACAGAAGUGUCAUCUGAUUGGAUCAGAACUUGCUGAGUUGAUUGCUUGUCAAAAGUGGCAUUGGUUAAUGCUGUAGCUACUUUAGCUACAAUGUCAAGGUUUUUAUUUGAUGCUAUAUAGGCAGCAUUCUGCGAAUUAGGGGGUUUGACACGAAAUAUAAAGUAAGUUCAUUAGAUCAUCUUAUGUAGAAGUAUAGAAAGAUGGCAAUCAAUGUGUUGUUUGAGAUGAGAGUUCACCUCAAUAUUGAUCAGGAUCCCAGAAACUGCCUUUGCCUUUGCAAAUUCUAGAAAUUCGGAGAGGGACACGAAGCUUCCCUUGUUCUUGUUAGCAGGGUUUCUUAUAAUGCUGCUGUUACCAAAAGGACUCACCAGUUGAGCUGAAAAAGGGGGAAAGUUCAUAAGUUAGGAGCUAAUUACUAUAUCAAACCAGCAGGAGUUAACAUUUCUCUGCAAGGACAGUUAUCAAAAUGAACUUACAUUGCAAUGUUUGAAUCUCAUUCCAUGUAAGAUCGAAUGAAAACACUCCUUCUUCCGGUUGAAUUUCAGGGAUGACAGUUUUUCUAUCAAUGAAAGGCAACAUGGCAGUAGUAUCUCCGGCUAGAUCUGCACUUGGUAAGCAGAAUGCUACUCCGUCUUGUGACAAUUGGACCGAGCAAUCUAUUAUGUCAGCCCCGUCUUCUACUGCUCUCUGAUAAGCAAGGUCACUGCUGCCAGGAUAUAUCCCACUGGCUCCAUUGUUACUAAUGAUCAAAGAGGCUCCUGCAGAAGUUACAAGAAACUAUUAUCAGUACUUUGCAUUGGGAUUAGGAAACUAGUAUGAGUCAUGACAGUAAUACCAUUUUUAGGUUUGCUUUCAUUCUUCUUGUGUGCAAAACAGGCUGCAUUUGAAACAAGCAUUGGCAAGGUUAGUUCAUUCAGAGCCCCCAAUGAAAGGUUUUUGGAUCAUUACAUGAAAUAAGAAGCUCUGAUAAUCUCACCUAUGGCUUCUGAUGCUGUAGGAGGGAAAUCUGUAAGCACCCCAUCAACAGAGAACUUAGAGUUAUCUACAAACUGGGUGUACUCAGCUGUUGGAUCAUAAUUAUAGUCAUAACUCAUGGGAACAUCGUUUGCGAAACCAUAAGCAUAAACUUCUAAUCCUAGUUUGUGGGCAUCGUCCACAAGAGUAGUUGGUUCGUCCAAAUAUCCAUCAUUGUUUGUAGGCCAUAUGUAUUCUUUUGGGACAAGAAUUCCAGAUACAUAGGGCUUGACCAAAGAAUCAAGACUCUGCAGGAUUGAUUUGUACUUGUGAUUGAUUGUUGGUUCAACAUCUUCAAGGCCCAGGAACUGAAAUACCAGCUUUGUUUUCUUUUUAUUUACUUUACUAUUCAUGAGUUUCAAGAAACCUAUCUCAGGAGAUGAAAUGUAGUUUAUACUCAUAUGUUUUGAUGCUGUGUCGAUGUAUGCUGCCGGGCUAAGUUUACGCUCGAUGUAGAAUCUUUCGUACUGCCAUUGAAGAAAAAGACCAAGCACACCAAAAUUAUAUUAUGUUUAUAUACAGGUAUUCAUUCAUUAUUAACAGUUUUUGCUCAUUGCAGAUUGUAGAAGAAAAAUGUAUCUGAGAAAGAUCAAUCAACCUGGACAUGCAACCAAAACUUUGGUGGCUUAAUUCCUGUGACAUCUUCAACAGUAGAGAUUGGUAAUUGACCAUCGAACAAAUUCGAUCGAGAGUAUACAUUCUGCAUCACUGUAAAUCAAAAUCAAAACUGGUUAUUACUAAACCUUAUAAGAGCUUGUCUGUUUAUUGAAACUUGUUUAGUAAAACUUACAUGUAACAUUGCUCAAAAGUUGAUCAGAUGUAUAAUCCACUGUGAACCACCCACGAACACUUUGACCAUUAACCUUGUAGGUACUUUGUCCUUUUGGAUAGAUUGAUGAAAUAGUAGUUGAAUUGUCAAUUCGUAUAUCGGGAAGGCAUAAUCCAAUGCCAUCUUUUGUGAGUUGCAGGUUGCAAGAAACAGCCAUGUCGGACAAACUUGUAGAGACCGCGAUUUGAUUUGCGAAACUGCUCGAUUCUGGGAACAGCCCUGAAAACCCGCCUCGGGCUAUAACAAGUGGCUGCUCACCUGCCAUAAAAAUGAGAAGAAAAGAAGUUUUUUUACUCAAGAAAUCAAAUCAAUGUAAUGAACUUUAUAAUUGAGCAUUUUGUUACAGAAUUUGCACAAGUUGUUUAUGAUUGUAAAAGUUGUUGCUAUUUGCUUUGCUGUUAUUACCGUUUAAAGUUUGCCAUUUCGUCGGAGACGACUGAGAUGGCUUCUGUGCUAAAGUUGAGUGUAUGAACAGGGAAACAAAAAUCAAAGACCUUAUCAUUUUUCUUCUUUAACCUGUCACAGAGAUUUAAAAGGGAAAAGAAAUAAUCAUUUUAGCCAAGAGAUUUCAUGAUAAUCAUAUUAGUUUCAAACUACUUCACAUUAUAAAAUAAUAAAGUAAUCUUAAUAUAAUGUAAUUUCAUUACUUUUUAUAGAAAAAUUAUAUAUUGUUAUAUAUCAAAAUGCCAUUCCAAAACAUCAUUUGAAGAACAUGAAAAAUUUAUAUAAUGAAACAUACAAACAUGUCUGCAUUAAAAACAAAAAAAAAGACACACAAGAACUUACUCAAAUCUUAUUAGAUGAUAAGAAUGAAAGUGCACAUUCCCUGUUAAGUUUCCCAAGCUAAUUCUCUAGGAAUCUAAUGAAGAAAGAGAGAGAGAAUGAGAAAGAAUAGGGGUUUAAGGAGAGGUAGAAAUGAAAGACUAAGAAUAGAAAUAAUUACUUCCAAAAAAAGGAUUUUUUAUUUUUUAAUUUUUAUUUUAAUAUGUUGUCUGUAAUUACUUCCAUUCAUUUUAUCGGAUUUAUAAUUGGCUAGCAUUUACUUAAACAAAAGGAGCAGUUUUUGGUUGAGGUUUAAUGCAUUCAUUUACUAUUUUGGUUCGUCUUUCUUGGACCAACAUCUUUGUGUUUGUUUCCCGGGAAAUUAGACAGCUCAAGUCCUA